rnacentral:lncRNA from 1 species
GUAGGCAGUGGCUACAGCUCGAUUCACCCUAGCCUGGAACUCAUAUGCUGCGGAGCAGCCAAAGAAAUAGCAAAAAAUAAAAAAAUAAAUAAAAAAUAAAAAAAUACUGUAUCUAUAAGACAGAGACAGAGAGGGCCCGUUGUGUCUCAGUGGGUUAAGAACCUGACUCAUACCCAUGAGGAUGCAGGUUCGAUCCCUGGCCUCACUCAUUGGGUUAAGGAUCUGGCUUUGCUGCCAGCUGUGGCUUAGGUCUCCGAUGUGGCUCAGAUUUGGCAUUGCUGUGGCUGUGCUGUGGCUGUAGCUCCAAUUCAACCUCUAGCCUGGGAACUUCCAUGUGCUGUGAGUGUGGCCCUAAAAAAGACGCCCCCCCCAAAAAAAAGAGAGAUGGGAGGAAGGGAGGAAGGAAGGAGGAAAGAAAGGGAGAGAAGAGAAGAAGGGGAGGAAAGAGAAGGAAUGAAUGAAUGAUGGAAGGAAGGAGCCUUUUUAACUUUCCGCCACUCUGAGAUUUCCAUCUCCAACUUGCAGGGACUUGCUUGAGGAAACUACCAGGUGACUUGAGUCAAGAGGCUUUAAAGACAUUUGGCGUAUUUCUAACAGUGUCAUGUUGGAGAAGGUUCUUUAGAAGGUUCUCCAGCCCAUUUGGGAAACUCCACGUAGCCCAUCAACCUCCCGCCAUCAAUCACACCAACUAUAAAUUUCAUCCUGGGAAGGAAAUGUGCCUUGAGGGUUGCAUUCAUCUUCUAUGCCAGGUGCACGGGGAGAGCAGAGGAAGGGAAGGAAUCCAGGCCUUUUCACCCUCUGGGCUGCUGGUCCCUGGUGCCCUGAGCCCUGGAGGGCCGGGCUGGAAGCCAAGGAACAAAUUGGUGCUGCCCAGCUAGGGUACCACUGAGUUGAGUCACCCUGACCAGCAGGUCCACCGGCUCUUGGCAUGCAAGUCCAGCAAAACCGGACUCAGCACUUGCUGGGAUCUCCCUGAAGUGCAAUGAGUUUGGCUGGAACAUGAGUGGUUCAAGUUCUGACUUUUUGUUCAUCAUGGUAUUUUUGCAAUUGAUUCUGAUUUGGGGAGAAAGAUUGCAUUAAAUGUUUGUUUGUUU